AUACGGGCGUGACUUCUCACACCCCUCCUUGUUGCUGCUCUUCUUCGUGCUCCAGCUCUGGGAAGCAAGAACUCCCGGCUUGCUAUGUAGCCAUCCUCGUCACCAGUGGAAGUGCUGCUAACCACGCGAGCUGCUGACGAUUGACGAGUGGUGGUGGAGCUUGGAUCCCUCUGGAAGGCCCAGCGGAAUUUCUUCUCCACUCUCGUCAUCCUCGUCACCAUAGCGGUUGUUGGUGACGGUGUACAUCUCCCAUAACUUAAUACCGCAGCGGCCGAGAGCUGCGUUAACUC